UGGAGACCAAGCCCCCUUGGCGACUGGAGGAUUAGGGAGGCCAUCCGCAGGAGGAUUGGAGCGAGUAGGCGGAGUCUGGAGAUUUAACUUACCAUCCUGUCUUCGUCAUGUACUAGAAGUCACCCAUGAGAAGCCCCAGAAUGGGAACCUAGCACUGGGCGAACACAGAGAUCCUGAUACAUCUUUCCCUUCAAAGAUGUCUAUCCCACAUCCACAUCUGUGGUAGAGGAGUAAAGAUGCAACGGGACUCACGAGCCUAAGCCCCUGCACCUGUGACUUCCUCUACCACGAUGGACCAAUGGACCAUAACCUUGGGUGAUGGUGAGCUGAAGUGAACCCUUCCCCCUGUUAAGGCCCUGUUGUUAGGGCAUCCUGUCACAGCCACAGAGCAGAAACUACGACUGUGGCAAACAAUGAGAAAAAUAAAAGUGGGUCAUUUCUCAACAUGGAAUUCAGAGACGGACCCUAAGUGGGUUGAGAAUUCAAAUGUUGAGGGCCUGGAGAGACGGU